rnacentral:ncRNA from 2 species
GGGGAAGCCGGUGCAAUUCCGGCGCUGACCCGCAACCGUGAACCGUCCGCCAGGGCGGUGAGCCGGACUGCCC